rnacentral:misc_RNA from 1 species
CGCACCUUGCGCUCCUUGGUAUUCCGAGGAGCAUGCCUGUUUGAGUGUCAUGGAAUUAUCAACUCGUUUGUGUUUGUAUGAACGCAGUUGGAUUUGGAGGCUAUUGCCGGAUUGUAAUGACUCGGCUCCUCUUGAAUGCAUUAGCUCGAACCUUUGCGGAUCAGCUUUUGGUGUGAUAAUUGUCUACGCCGCUAACUGAGACGCAUGAAUAGGAUCAGCUUACAAUCGUCUUUGAACGGACAAUCUAUUAUGACUUCUGACCUCAAAUCAGGUAGGAUUACCCGCUGAACUUAA